GGGAGGAGGGCAGCAUGGAUUACUCCCUUUCCACUGGGUUAAGAUGCUUACCAAUUAAUUACCUUUUGAUCUGAAAAUUCCUGGCCACGCAGCCUAAACAGACAGAGCGCUUGGAGAGAGAGGGAGACAGAGUGACUGGAAGGCCGGCGCGUAGAGAUAGGAUGUGUGUGCGCUUUUUCAAAGUCAGGAUAAGGAUGCUGUCAUUUAGGUGAUGUGACCUUCGUUCAGGUAUGGAGCUACGCCUCGGGAGAGAGAGUGAGUGAGGGAGAUAGUGACAGAGAUACAGAGACUCCAGGGAGAAAGACAGCAGGGGGUGAUCAGUUUGAUAUUUUUUGAUAUCUCUGGUGGAAGUACUGUUACAAAGUUCCUGAACACUAACCUGAGCUGUAGCCUCGGACAAAGGUGUUAUGACUCAUGCAGUGCAAUUUCACAGCAGCCAGGAACUAGAGGUUCUCUAGAGUAAUUAUUCCUUAAUUCCUUUAUGACUUUUUGGCAGUCCUACUGACCAAUAACAAUCAACGGAAUGUUCAAGUGUUUAAACCAAACUAACCAAGUGAGGUGCUCCACAGAUGUGUUCCUGGUUCUCCUGCUCUUCCCCAGUGUUUGGCAAUGGUAGAACUCACACUGGUGGGCUAGUUGGAGCCGGUGGUUCUAGACUUGCCAACAACUGACUGAGAGAUUUACAGCCACCUAGAUCCACCCAGCAACCCUCCAACGUCAGGCCUGAUGUUGGUGGAGUUAAAAGGCAAGUUGUGGUUAUCCUGAUACAUGUCAUGCGUGUCACUGAGUGUUGAUUGAAUGAGGUAGAGAGGGAAAGGUAUGCGAGAUAGGUGUGGAAGUGAGUGUGAUGUUUAAUGGACUCAUCCUCCCUGCACCUUGCUGUCUCAGAACACUCAGUGACAUGGAUACCAGGAAGAACAUAACCAAAACUGUGGUUCUAUAACCAACCAACAACCCCCCCCCCCUCCCAGUGUUCUGUAGUUGUGUCCCUGCCUCUGGGGUGUCUGGGUUACAAUUAGCUGAUUAUGAAAUACACUUAGAGUAACCUUACACUUGACAGAGGAGUGUGUGUGUGUGUGUGUGUGUGUGUGUGUGUGUGUGUGUGUGUGCGCGUGUGUGUGUGUGGAUAACACAUACUCAGAUGCUGGGUUGUAACAGAUCCAUACACACUCCAUUAACCAUCAACUUCACUGGAAAGAGAAGUGCAUACUAUAGAGAUCUGCUUCCAUCGACUUAUCAGUCCAUUUGAAUGAUUUUUUUUUUUUUAAUGCUUCCUCAGUCAUGGUAAUGCGUUUUGGUUGUAGUUUCAGUACAGGACUAGUGCUGAAGUAUAAGACUCGGGAGUCAGUAUAGGACUGGUGCUGAAGUAUAAGACUGAGCCUGAAAUAUAGGGCUGGUGCUGAAGUAAAGGACUGGGGCUGAUGUAUAGGGCUGGGGCUGAUGUAUAGGGCUGGGGCUGAUGUAUAGGGCUGGGGCUGAAAUAAGGACAGGGCCUGAAGUGUAGGGUUGUGGCUAAAGUAUAGGACUGGGGUGAAGUACACGACCAGGGCUGAAGUAUAGAACUAGUCUAGGGCAGUGUAACAGUGAUGUGCUAUGGAUUAGAGCGUGUGUUGUCACUGCAACAGCAGAAGGGCCUGCUGUAAAUCCCAGGCUUUAGUGUUUAGCCACAGCCAUCACAGCUUAUGAUGCAACCGGCUCCCACUCUGUGACACCGCGGGUGGGGUGAUAGAGGAAGACCCAGGUGGGAGCCAGGGAAGGACAGGAGAACAGAGAGCUGGGAGGAAAAGUGGGCUGACAAGGUUUUUUUUAAGAUUGUGCAGAACUAAAUAGCUUUCAAACAAUUAAGUAAGUCUGGUUCAACAUGGAAUAGGGUGGUUCACACACACAGAAAUAUGUACGCUUGCACAAACAUAUACACACACACACACACACACACACACACAAAGCACCUGAGGGGUUUUGCGUUGUCUUGUAAAUAGACACAUUUUCAUAUCCACACAGUGCAGGAUUAAGCAGGUGGUAAAUGCUGUCACUGGUGGCUUUGGGUUCUAAUUGUAGUUGUGGGUUGAGCUAGGGGACAGUGUGCUGUGCUCCUGACACACCGACAGCUGGCGGCGGCGGUGGUGUGAUGGUGAUGGAGGGGAGCAUAGCUGUAUAGGAGGAGCAACUGACCGGGGAUGUAGACGCACACAGAACACAUUCACAUGCACGUACGGCAUCCCAAAGCACGACCCUGGAGGGACACCUGAGGAUGCUUACAGGGAAGUAGGAAGUGUGUGUUUGCUUCGUGUGUAAUGUCUGUGGGGGGGGGGUGUUACGCUGAGACCUGCCCCUACGCACUGUCACACACCACCUACAGGCGACAGAAGAGUAAGGAAAGGGGUUUUGGAGGGUGCAAGGGUCAGUUGAUCCCACCAUCCACCACCUUUGUGUACACAGAAGGUGAAAUAACUAAUGCUGUCCCACACUUGUUAUUCUUGUCUGAGGACUGUAUGAAUGCUUGUCAGUAUGCUGAUUCAUAGGCUCUCAUGUGGAUGUUGUGUUAUUUUGCUCUGAUAAUGCCACAAGGGGAUUAAUAAAGUUUUGUUAAGUGAAAUGCAUUUUGUUGUAUUGCAUUAGUGAAGGGAUCCAUGCUGUAUAUCCCACUCAACUGUUAGGAAACCUAAAUAUGAAACCUGCCAAGAUGGGGGGUGGGCAGGUGAGGAAGUGAGGAAGUGAUCAUGUGAAGUAAAAUGAACAGGUAACAUACUGCUUCUCCCUUCAGAGCUUUUCCUUGUGUAUAAAUACACACACACACACACACACACACACACACACACACACACCACCACCACCAGUCCUUCCAGGACCUUAUAGCAUGCUUUUAAUAAACACACUGCACUGGGGUUUCAGGGAACGGCUCUAGAAGGACAUCGUUAACCUAGACUUGUCUCAGUCAAUGAACUGGAACACACACACACUGGAUUACAGUAAUCCAGGGACAAGGGGUAUUUUUAGAUCUGUGUGGCCAGAGAUCUACACUCAUGAAAGGCAUGGCAACUGAUGAAGGAAAAUAAGCAGACAUUUUUCUGUGAUUAAUUAACUGGGUAUUGGAAAUUGGUUUGGUGGUCUAUAUUAUACAAACACGUGGCAGCCUACACUAGAGAAAGACAUCUGAGAGGGAUAUCCUGUGCCCUAUCCUACUCCCAGUUAUAUAUGCAGAGCAGACAGAAGCUCAGGUGAAGUCUGGUAACCAGACCACAGGAGUGUCUGGCUGGGUAACCUUGUGAGGCUUCCAAAGCACUAACUACAAUGGGUCAGUUAUCUUGCUCAUUGACACUACACUAACACAUAAACACUUGGAUAAUACAGUCAUUUUAUUGUGAAGGGAGUGGCUGUAAAUUAUGAUGAAAGUGUGAAUUGAGAGAAAGGAUUCUGUAUUAAGAAGUCUUUGUGACAUUUCACUUGAAAAUGCAAAUGGUUUAUGCAAUUCCUUUUUGUUAACGUGUACAAGCUGGACUUGUAUAUAAAUACACACACAUGCAUGUUCACUCACACCACCACAGACAAUUAUUUACAUCACCAAAUAGCCCAGUGACCAGAAGCCUUCGUUGAGUGGCAUCUUUGCACCACUUGGUGGGAAUAAUCAGAACUACAGGCACAAAUGCUAAGUGGUCCCAAGCAAGACAUCCCCAAUCAUGAUUGUAGGUGUGAUGACGAACUGCACAUGUACAGACCGUUAAUCAAAGGCUCUUGUACAGUUCAUAGUUUAAUAAAAAAAAAAGUUUAUUAGUCUUUGAAGUGUUAAUUCGCAACUUGAUGUGGUUGAAGUAACAAAACAUUCAAGUACCUGAAUGAACUGCCUAGUGAAAAUCUGUCUUCAUUUUCUGGCAAGUCAUUCUCAAUUUUUUUUUUUUACUUACUGGUUACAUGUAUCUGUGGCCAAGAAAUGCAUUGGAGACUGCAAACUUAGAUUUCAAACAGACAGUUUAAGUAUGCCAGGGAGUAUGAUGUGAUCCUCUUGGAUAACAAGCCCUAUCCUCACAACACCCCACCAUGACCAAGUGAAAAGACGUUUCCUGACUACUGAGAUUACAGCUUCACACAAUUAUUAUUUCUAUUUCUAACCUUGUCAAUGACUAUAUUUGCUAUUCAUUUAGCUAGAUUUCAUAGUCAAACUCAUUUCAUGUAUGUUUUCAAGUGACCCCAGACUUUUCAACGGUAGUGUACAUAUAUGUAAAAUGCAUUGUACCACUUACUGUUAAAUACAAUUGAAAUAAAUGAUGAAUGCAUA